rnacentral:rRNA from 1 species
UAACUACUGGAAACGGUGGCUAAUACCGCAUAACGUCGCAAGACCAAAGAGGGGGACCUUCGGGCCUCUUGCCAUCAGAUGUGCCCAGAUGGGAUUAGCUUGUUGGUGAGGUAACGGCUCACCAAGGCGACGAUCCCUAGCUGGUCUGAGAGGAUGACCAGCCACACUGGAACUGAGACACGGUCCAGACUCCUACGGGAGGCAGCAGUGGGGAAUAUUGCACAAUGGGCGCAAGCCUGAUGCAGCCAUGCCGCGUGUAUGAAGAAGGCCUUAGGGUUGUAAAGUACUUUCAGCGGGGAGGAAGGUGUUGUGGUUAAUAACCGCAGCAAUUGACGUUACCCGCAGAAGAAGCACCGGCUAACUCCGUGCCAGCAGCCGCGGUAAUACGGAGGGUGCAAGCGUUAAUCGGAAUUACUGGGCGUAAAGCGCACGCAGGCGGUCUGUCAAGUCGGAUGUGAAAUCCCCGGGCUCAACCUGGGAACUGCAUUCGAAACUGGCAGGCUUGAGUCUUGUAGAGGGGGGUAGAAUUCCAGGUGUAGCGGUGAAAUGCGUAGAGAUCUGGAGGAAUACCGGUGGCGAAGGCGGCCCCCUGGACAAAGACUGACGCUCAGGUGCGAAAGCGUGGGGAGCAAACAGGAUUAGAUACCCUGGUAGUCCACGCCGUAAACGAUGUCUACUUGGAGGUUGUGCCCUUGAGGCGUGGCUUCCGGAGCUAACGCGUUAAGUAGACCGCCUGGGGAGUACGGCCGCAAGGUUAAAACUCAAAUGAAUUGACGGGGGCCCGCACAAGCGGUGGAGCAUGUGGUUUAAUUCGAUGCAACGCGAAGAACCUUACCUGGUCUUGACAUCCACAGAACUUUCCAGAGAUGGAUUGGUGCCUUCGGGAACUGUGAGACAGGUGCUGCAUGGCUGUCGUCAGCUCGUGUUGUGAAAUGUUGGGUUAAGUCCCGCAACGAGCGCAAC